rnacentral:rRNA from 1 species
AUGGACGACUCGCGCCUAUUCAUGCAGUGGGCGGUGAGCACACUGCAGCAGCAGGAUCCAGGAGGAGCCGGCGGCGGCAGCGAGAAGAGCGCCGGCUUCCCGUGUCUCCAGGCGCUCCGCGAUUCCUCGGAGCUGACGGAAGCACAGAACAGUCUGAGCUCCGGCGACGACACCGGCGGCGGUGGAGGAAUCAUCACCCCAGCCCCCGAUUUGGCUGUGCACCAAGGCAGUUGGUCCAUGUCGUCCCCGACCUCGGGCGGGCCGUUCGCGCCCAGCAGCAUGAGCGGCACCAGCACCAGCAACGCCCUGAGGGCCUCCACAAAGAGCACGCCAUACGCGCAAGACCACAUCAUGGCGGAGAGGAAGCGCCGGGAGAAGAUCAACCAGCGCUUCAUCGAGCUCUCCGCCGUCAUUCCCGGCCUCAAGAAGAUGGACAAGGGGACGAUUCUUGCCGACGCGACCAGAUACGUGAAGGAGCUCCAAGAGAGGGUCAAGUAA